rnacentral:lncRNA from 1 species
UAUUGCAACCAUCCAUUCCUCUCGUAGUCGUUGCUUCUGUACAGUUAGUCGUACUCAAUGUCUUUGGUGCCAAAAUGACAUCAGCUAAUGUAUCUUGUUGUUUUCGUGGAUCAGCAGAAAGGACUUCUGUGUGCUACCAGAACUAAAGCAACAUUUAUGUAAAAUGGGGUAAAUGUUCAAAUUUUGCGACGUAUAGAGUGGAAUGAACAAACAUUUUUGUAAAUCUUGACUCACAUUUUCCAUGCAGUACAUACAUCCCACUUUACCCAACUAACUUACUUUGCUCAAUCGUGAUUACUUAAUAUCUACUUGUCUGGACUCUCUUCGUGUUCUUUUCUGCUGCUAAAUAUCCCCACAUGUUUUAAAAAGUUGACACCUGUUAAAUUAACAUAGUUUCAAGAUGCAAUUUUAGUGUAUAAUUCCAAACAAAAUUACAAAAUCAUGAAAACAAAAAAAAACCAUACUUUAGUUUCCAUCCGAUUCCAAGAUUUC